rnacentral:lncRNA from 1 species
GCAGGUCUUGGGUGAGACCCAAUGCUAUGCUGGCUUCAUCUCUAACCCAGUCCAGUCAUAGUGGGGGUGGCCACAGAGGUACUUCUGUCACUCCACUCCCAGCUUUAUGUGGCUCAGAACAGAGAGAGAAAUUCCAUUUGUUUGGGAGAAAGUAAGGUAAGAGAACAAGAGUCUUUGCCUGGUAAUCCAGAGAAUUUCUCCCAGAUGCUGUCCUUGACCAUCAAGGUGGUACCCCUAAGAGUCUGCAAGAACUUCAGAGAACUACAGUGUUAUUGGGUUCGGGGUAAUCCCUCCCCCAGCUCCAGGCAGCUCAGCACAGAGAGAGAGACUGUUUGUGUUUAAAGAAUGUAAGGGAAGAGAACAAGAGUUUCUGCCUGGUAAUCCAGGGAAUUCCCUUGGAUCUUACCCAUGAACACCAAGGUGGUACCUCUACAAGUCAGCAAGAACCACAGCGUUACUAGGCUUGAGGUGCCCCCUAAAGCAGAUACAGCUUAGAUCACAGUAGUGAAGUCCUUUGAAAUACCUGGAAAGCCUUCCCAAGAAGGACAAGUACAAACAAGCCCAGACACUGGAGACUGAUAAUAUCCAACUCUUCAAUGCCCAGAGAGUGAAGAAUAUCUAUAGCAUCAGCACCAUCCAGGAAAACAUGACCUCACCAAAUGAACUAAAGAAACCACCAGAGACCAGUCCUAGAGAAACAGACAUAUGAGACCUUUCAGACAGAAUUCAAAAUAGCCAUGUUGAAGAAACUCAAAGAAAUUCAAGAUAAUGGAAAGAAGGAAUUCAGAAUUCUAUCAGAUAAACUUAACAAAUAAAUCGAACUUGAACGUGGGAGGCAGCGGUUGCAGUGAGCUGAGAUUGCGCCACUGCGCUCCAGCCUGGUGACAGAGCAAGACUCCAUCUCAA